rnacentral:rRNA from 1 species
UACGGAGGGUGCAAGCGUUGAUCGGAAUUAUUGGGCGUAAAGGGUAGGUAGGUGGUCUCGUUUGUCUGGGGUGAAAGCCUUGAGCUUAACUCAAGAAGUGCCCCAGAAACGGCGAGACUCGAGUACUGGAGAGGGUCGUGGAAUUCCCGGUGUAGCGGUGAAAUGCGUAGAGAUCGGGAGGAACACCAGAGGCGAAGGCGGCGACCUGGACAGUAACUGACACUCAACUACGAAAGCGUGGGGAGCAAACAGG